rnacentral:rRNA from 1 species
GCCUACGGGGGGCUGCAGUGAGGAAUAUUGGUCAAUGGACGAGAGUCUGAACCAGCCAAGUAGCGUGAAGGAUGACUGCCCUAUGGGUUGUAAACUUCUUUUAUAAGGGAAUAAAGUGAGGGACGUGUCCCUUUUUGUAUGUACCUUAUGAAUAAGGAUCGGCUAACUCCGUGCCAGCAGCCGCGGUAAUACGGAGGAUCCAAGCGUUAUCCGGAUUUAUUGGGUUUAAAGGGAGCGUAGGUUGACAUAUAAGUCAGCUGUGAAAGUUUACGGCUCAACCGUGAAAUUGCAGUUGAUACUGUAUGUCUUGAGUGUACAAGAGGUGGGCGGAAUUCGUGGUGUAGCGGUGAAAUGCUUAGAUAUCACGAAGAACUCCAAUUGCGAAGGCAGCUCACUGGGGUACAACUGACACUGAGGCUCGAAAGUGUGGGUAUCAAACAGGAUUAGAUACCCUAGUAGUCCA